AUUGGGGAAGGUAUAAAAAACACAGUAUUUAAUCUGCCAGGUCCGAAAGGAAGCAACAGAAGUAUUGGCGUUUUUGUAUAUACUUCCCCUCUUUA
rnacentral:SRP_RNA from 1 species